CUCCUAAGUCAUAUAUAGUAACCAUGAUCUACACAUUAUCUGUAAAGACAGAUAUUUCCAACCGAUAAACAAGCACAUGUCAGAUAUACAAAUUGGGUAUAAAUAGAUAACCCAAAAUCAUCGUGUGAAAAUGAACAUCCGAAAGCUCGGAUGUUAAGCCGUCUUUUAUCGGCUACUUAAAUUUAGUGUCUAGAAGCAAAUGAUCCCAUUCAUCCCGUUCUUUUGUGGUAAUAGCAUUGUCUAAAGGAGGAUAAAAAAAUUUGGUGUAUGAUUUUUGGUGUUGAGUAAAAUCCUUCAAUUCAACGAUCUACUUUGAAAGCUAACAAAUGUUUUAAUCAACUGAUCUAUAAUACCAGACUAUGUUUAAUCGAAAAUGAGACAAUCGGUUUUAACACGGUCUAGCACUAAGCAGCCGUCGACCAGGUAAAAAUAUCGAAGAAGAGGACAGAUACUAGUUUUUUAAGUGAUUUGACUUGUUUUACUACAGUGAUGUAAAUGUCUUUACUGGACUAAAAGCAAUCUCUCAGAAGAAUUAAGAUACAUCAAGAGAAAGCGUAAUAAUUGAUUUUUGAACUUUCUAAUCCGUGAGCUACUGUUCAUAACUGGCAAACAAAAAAAGACUCUAAAGAAAGGCAAUUGACAUUAAUCUAUUGUAAUUGACGUUGGCAGUGUGUAUCUUAAUUGCUCCGUGAAUGCUGCUGAUGUUUAUUUAAUUUACCAAUAAUGAUUCGUUUUCUUUUGUAGAUCAA